rnacentral:rRNA from 1 species
AACCUACGGGAGGCAGCAGUGGGGGAUAUUGCACAAUGGGGGGAACCCUGAUGCAGCGACGCCGCGUGGGUGAAGAAGCGCCUCGGCGCGUAAAGCCCUGUCAGCAGGGAAGAAAAUGACGGUACCUGAAGAAGAAGCCCCGGCUAACUACGUGCCAGCAGCCGCGGUAAUACGUAGGGGGCAAGCGUUAUCCGGAUUUACUGGGUGUAAAGGGAGCGCAGGCGGGAAGCCAAGUCAGCUGUGAAAACUACGGGCUUAACUUGUAGACUGCAGUUGAAACUGGUUUUCUUGAGUGAAGUAGAGGU